rnacentral:tRNA from 1 species
UUUGAUUAAGAAGAAACAUUCUUAUAAAUAAAUUUACAAUCUAUCGCCUAAACU